rnacentral:rRNA from 1 species
AGAGCGAACGCUGGCGGCAGGCCUAACACAUGCAAGUCGAGCGGCCGUAGCAAUACGGCAGCGGCAGACGGGAUAGUAACACGUGGGAACGCGCCCUUCGGUUCGGAAUAACUCAGGGAAACUUGAGCUAAUACCGGAUACGCCCUUACGGGGAAAGAUUUAUUGCCGAAGGAACGGCCCGCGUCCGAUUAGCUAGUUGGUGAGGUAAUGGCUCACCAAGGCUACGAUCGGUAGCUGGUCUGAGAGGAUGACCAGCAUCACUGGGACUGAGACACGGCCCAGACUCCUACGGGAGGCAGCAGUGGGGAAUAUUGGACAAUGGGCGCAAGCCUGAUCCAGCCAUGCCGCGUGGAUGAUGACGGCCUUAGGUUGUAAAGUCCUUUUAACGGGGAAGAUAAUGACGGUACCCGUAGAAUAAGCCCCGGCUAACUUCGUGCCAGCAGCCGC